UGGGUAACCUGCCUCAAAGAGGGGAAUAGCCUCCCGAAAGGGAGAUUAAUACCGCAUAAUAUGUUUAAGUCGCAUGACUUUAACAUCAAAGGAUUUUCUUUUAGAAAUUCCACUUUGAGAUGGACCCGCGGCGCAUUAGCUAGUUGGUGAGGUAACGGCUCACCAAGGCAACAGGGGGGGUNCGUAGCCGACCUGAGAGGGUGAUCGGCCACAUUGGAACUGAGACACGGUCCAGCUCCGUAGGAGG
rnacentral:rRNA from 1 species